rnacentral:rRNA from 1 species
AUGACGCACAGCAGCAGCCACCACCACCACCACCACCACCACCACGCGCUCUGCUGCCUCUCCUCCGCACCGCAACAUCCCGAAGCGUCGCCCACGCCGGCACCGGAGCCCGCCGCGGCCACCGCUACGCAGGUGCCGGGGUCGGUAGCGGUGGCCGGCGUGCUGCACAAGUGGACCAACUACGGCCGCGGGUGGCGGGAGCGCUGGUUCUCGCUCCGCGACGGGGUGCUCUCCUACUCCAAGAUUCGGGCCGACGCGGGGGGCGGGGAGGCGGCCGGACGGAUCGCUGACGACGGGGAGGUCAGGCUGAUCGGCGGCGCGUCCGCGAGGAUCGACGGGGGGCGCCGCCCGGAGAAGCCCGUCGGAGUCGUCUGCCUCAAGGUGUCCGCAUUUCGUGAGAGCAAGUCCGACGACAGGAGAUUCUACAUAUUUUCUCCCACAAAGACACUUCAUUUGAAGACAGAUUCGAAAGAUGACCGUGUCGCUUGGAUCGAGGCCUUGAUCUUGGCGAGGAGUGUUUAUUCGCUCAGGUCACUCAGUGGAAGUAUAACUUUUGUGCAGAGUGAUGUUUCAGUUUCCACUGCAAGGCUUCGAAAUCGGAUGCACCAGGAUGGUUUAAACGAGAGUCUUAUACAGGACUGCGAACAGAUUAUGCUUUCGGAGUUUUCAAGCUACAGAAAGCAACUGAAGCUACGCUAUGACGAUCAUCUAAGCUUGUUCGGAUCUAGCAGACACCAUUUCGAGUGUAUUACACACCUAUUUGUGCAGGAAGGUAAAGAUGGAAAUAUAAUACAGGGGGCGUUGACAAAAAAUGAAUUUUCUAGUUCCCGGCAUGGAAAUUUCAGUGAAUAUAGCACAACAGAAUCUGAUGAAUUUGAGAAGCAAGAUGGUGGUGAAUUGACUUGUGAAGAGGACUCUACAUUCUUUGAUGCUGCAGACUACUUCAUAGAAUCAAACAGCAGAUCUUCAACAAUGUCAGAUUCCACAGAUUGUGGUGUACACAGUGCUACUAACAUAGAUAAUCCAGGUGGCCAAGAAGUUGUGGAUAUCCAAAUUCAAGAUUCUAACAACAUGCUACCUGAAAUCAAACGACGGAGUAAACUACCAGAACCUACUGAGAAAGAGAAAGGAAUCAGCCUUUGGUCCAUUAUUAAAGAUAGUGUUGGCAAGGAUUUGACACGAGUAUGCCUUCCAGUUUACUUCAACGAGCCACUUUCAUCCCUCCAAAAGUGCUUUGAAGAUUUCGAAUAUUCCUACCUUCUGGAUCAAGCCUAUGAAUAUGGAAAAGUGGGGAAUAGCCUCAUGAGAAUCCUGAAAGUAGCUGCUUUUGCGAUCUCUGGCUAUGCUUCAUCUGUCGCGAGACCUUGCAAACCAUUCAAUCCAUUGUUAGGAGAGACUUAUGAAGCUGAUUUUCCUGAUAGAAGGAUCCGCUUUUUUGCCGAGAAGGUUAGUCAUCAUCCAAUGCUGAUUGCCUGCCACUCUGAAGGCAAGGGCUGGAAAUUCUGGGGCGACAGCAAUGUAAAAUCCAAGUUCUGGGGGCAGUCAAUUCAAGUUGAUCCUGUUGGCGUUUUGACAGUGGAAUUUGAUGACGGUGAAAUCUUCAAGUGGAGUAAGGUGACAACAACUAUUAAUAACCUCAUUCUUGGGAAGCUGUACUGCAACCAUCAUGGAAUUAUGCACAUAAAGGGGAAUCGGCAGUAUUCAUGUAAACUCAAGUUCAAAGAGCCAUCGCUGCUUGACCGCAAUCCUCACCUAGUACAAGGCUUCGUGGAGGACAAUGAUGGAAAGAAGGCUUCAUUUUUAAUAGGAAAAUGGGACGAAAGUAUGUACUAUACAAAUUUAGAUACUUCCAAGGUCAAGAGCGCCGAUCAAUUGCAAGGUGCCUCCCUACUUUGGGAAAAGAACAAGCCUUCUCCCAACCCAACUCGUUACAAUCUAUCUUCUUUUGCGAUCACAUUGAAUGAGCUGACCCCAGAGCUUCAGGAGAAACUCCCCCCUACUGAUUCACGGCUAAGACCAGACCAGCGGCAUUUAGAGAACGGUGAGUAUGAGAAGGCAAAUACAGAGAAGUUGAGGUUGGAACGGCGGCAAAGAAUGUCGACUAAACUUCAAGACAAUGGUUGGAAGCCUCGAUGGUUCGAGCAGGACGCAGAGGACGGGGCAUAUCAUUACAAAGGUGGGUACUGGGAAGCAAGGGACGAAGGACGCUGGGACGGAUGCCUCAAUAUAUUCGGGGAGUUCUCAGAAACGUGA